rnacentral:lncRNA from 1 species
UCUAAUUCUACUUUAAACUAAUUAUCUAAUUGUAAACCACAACAAAUAAUCACUAAACAAACAGUAGAGAGAGAGAAAAGUAACAUCUAAUUUUGGGAUGAUGGACUUGUUUUUUGGGAAAGAGACUGAAUCUGUUCAUCAAGCUUUCUCAAACCUUCACGGGCCUUAUUUGGAUCAACUUUAAACUCCAGGUCUUUCCCUACAGCAUUGACAAAAUUAAAGUAGCCUAUUCGUAUGCUUUUCUUUACUUUAUCACUC